AUUGAACGCUGGCGGCAUGCCUUACACAUGCAAGUCGAACGGCAGCACGGGGCAACCUGGUGGCGAGUGGCGAACGGGUGAGUAAUGCAUCGGAACGUACCUUUCAGUGGGGGAUAACGUAGCGAAAGUUACGCUAAUACCGCAUAUUCUGUGAGCAGGAAAGCAGGGGAUCGCAAGACCUUGCGCUGAUUGAGCGGCCGAUGUCAGAUUAGCUGGUUGGUGAGGUAAAGGCUCACCAAGGCGACGAUCUGUAGCGGGUCUGAGAGGAUGAUCCGCCACCCUGGAACUGAGACACGGUCCAGACUCCUACGGGAGGCAGCAGUGGGGAAUUUUGGACAAUGGGGGCAACCCUGAUCCAGCCAUGCCGCGUGAGUGAAGAAGGCCUUCGGGUUGUAAAGCGCUUUCGGCCGGGAAGAAAUCGCACGGGCUAAUACCCUGUGUGGAUGACGGUACCGGAAUAAGAAGCACCGGCUAACUACGUGCCAGCCGCCGCCGUAACAC
rnacentral:rRNA from 1 species